GACGAACGCUGGCGGCGUGCUUAACACAUGCAAGUCGAACGGAAAGGCCCCUUCGGGGUGCUCGAGUGGCGAACGGGUGAGUAACACGUGGGUGAUCUGCCCUGCACUUUGGGAUAAGCCCGGGAAACUGGGUCUAAUACCGGAUAUACCCUGCUGGUCGCAUGGCCUGGUGGGGGAAAGCUUUUGCGGUGUGGGAUGGGCCCGCGGCCUAUCAGCUUGUUGGUGGGGUGAUGGCCUACCAAGGCGACGACGGGUAGCCGGCCUGAGAGGGUGUCCGGCCACACUGGGACUGAGAUACGGCCCAGACUCCUACGGGAGGCAGCAGUGGGGAAUAUUGCACAAUGGGCGCAAGCCUGAUGCAGCGACGCCGCGUGAGGGAUGACGGCCUUC
rnacentral:rRNA from 1 species